rnacentral:ncRNA from 2 species
CAAACUGGUGGGGAUGGAGUCCCCCGCUGAAAAAUGCUUCUUAACAGAGCUGAUGACUCCUGCCCCGCC